AUGCCGCCGGAACGGCCCGCCGUCGCAGCCCGCGCCUCCAUCCCCAGAUUCAGGCGAGCGAGGAGGGAGCCGGACUGGAUCUCCGGCGCAGCGCGCGCCUCCGUCCCCAGGUCCACGCGAGUGACGAGGGCGACGGAGCGGCCCGCCGCCGCAGCCCGCGCCUACAUCCCCAGGUUCAGGCGCCGCUUCGACCUGCGACUCCACGGCAUUGACAGUGGUCGUGGCACGGGGGUCGAGCUGCUAGGGUGCCGCCACGGUCGCCUCCUCAUCAUGCAUUGGCAACGGGCAGAGCUUAUUGUAAUUGCUCCCUUCACCGGCAAGAAGCUCUGCCUGACCGUUCCGUCCAAGUUCAAGGGGGGCUGCUACCUUGAUGGGGCGGUGCUCUGCGGCGCUGCUGACCAUGGCCACGUGCAUGGAAGCUGCCACUCAAGCCCAUUCAAGGUGGUCUUGCUGUCGACGAGCACCUACGAUAAUGGUCCACAGCCCGCCUUUGCAUGUGUUUUCUCCUCAGAGACUGGCAUAUGGAGCGAUCACAUCUCGACGCCGACUCCAUAUCAGCUUCAUGGCACUGAUAGUCACGGGUCACUUAUUAGUAACUCACUUUACUGGAUGUGCGGCGAUUACAUUUUUCAGUUUGAUUUGGAUGGUCAAAGCCUAGCUUUGAUCAGAGCGCCUCCCGGAAUAAAUGAUGUCCACCACAGGUAUGACGAACGUGAGAUCAUCCAGGUGGUGCAUGGCAUUGUUGGUGUCGCCAUACUGUCUCACUAUUACCAUAACAUUCAAAUAUGGCAAAGGGAGGUCAAUUGCCAGGGUGUUACCAAAUGGGUGCUAUGGAAGACCAUUGAUAUGCAUGACACUCAUGGGAUCCCUCAUGGGAAUGAAGGAGAGAGGCCAAAGUUGAUAUUCAGACUGAGAUAUGCUGAGGAUACCGAUGAUAUAUUUAUAUAUGUCGGCAGGAGUAUCUAUAUGGUUCAACUUAAGUCGAUGCAAUCUAUGAAAUUUUGUGAAACCGGUUAUAUUAUGUGCCAACAUUCUUUAAAGAGUUUCUAUAUGCCAGGUGAUUGUUCUUCAUUAGUACUAAUAUCGUAG
rnacentral:rRNA from 1 species